GACGAACGCUGGCGGCGUGCUUAACACAUGCAAGUCGAACGGAAAGGCCCUGCUUUUGUGGGGUGCUCGAGUGGCGAACGGGUGAGUAACACGUGAGUAACCUGCCCUUGACUUUGGGAUAACUUCAGGAAACUGGGGCUAAUACCGGAUAGGAGCUCCUGCUGCAUGGUGGGGGUUGGAAAGUUUCGGCGGUUGGGGAUGGACUCGCAGCUUAUCAGCUUGUUGGUGGGGUAGGGGCUUACCAAGGCUUUGACGGGUAGCCGGCCUGAGAGGGUGACCGGCCACAUUGGGACUGAGAUACGGCCCAGACUCCUACGGGAGGCAGCAGUGGGGAAUAUUGCACAAUGGGCGGAAGCCUGAUGCAGCAACGCCGCGUGCGGGAUGACGGCCUUCGGGUUGUAAACCGCUUUCGCCUGUGACGAAGCGUGAGUGACGGUAAUGGGUAAAGAAGCACCGGCUAACUACGUG
rnacentral:rRNA from 1 species